CACGUAGGGUGCGAGCGUUGUCCGGAAUUAUUGGGCGUAAAGAGCUCGUAGGCGGUGUGUCGCGUCGGCCGUGAAAACCUGCAGCUUAACUGUGGGCGUGCGGUCGAUACGGGCAUCACUGGAGUUCGGCAGGGGAGACUGGAAUUCCUGGUGUAGCGGUGAAAUGCGCAGAUAUCAGGAGGAACACCGGUGGCGAAGGCGGGACUCUGGGCCGAUACUGACGCUGAGGAGCGAAAGCGUGGGGAGCGAACAGG
rnacentral:rRNA from 1 species